GACGUAGGGGGCGAGCGUUGUCCGGAUUUAUUGGGCGUAAAGAGCGCGUAGGCGGCCCGGAAAGUCGGAUGUGAAAACCCGGGGCUCAACCCCGGGCCUGCAUCCGAUACUCCCGGGCUGGAGGCAGGUAGGGGAGAUCGGAAUUCCUGGUGUAGCGGUGAAAAUGCGCAGAUAUCAGGAGGAACACCGGUGGCGAAGGCAGCUCGCUGGGACGUUACUGACGCUGAGACGCGAAAGCGUGGGGAGCAAACAGG
rnacentral:rRNA from 1 species